rnacentral:rRNA from 1 species
GACGAACGCUGGCGGCGUGCUUAAUACAUGCAAGUCAACUGAACUUAAGGUAGCAAUAUUUUAAGGGAGGUGGCGCACGGGUGAGUAACACGUAGGUAAUCUGCCUUUAGGUCUGACAUAAUUCCGCGAAAGCGGGACUAAUAUCAGAUGAUGCAGCGGCUCGACAUCGAGACAGUUGUUAAACCUUCGGGGCCUAAAGAUGAGCCUGCGUCUGAUUAGGUAGUGGCGGAGUAAAAGCCCACCAAGCCUGCGAUCAGUAGCUGGUCUGAGAGGAUGAUCAGCCACACUGGAACUGAGACACGGUCCAGACUCCUACGGGAGGCAGCAGUAAGGAAUAUUGCUCAAUGGCCGAAAGGCUGAAGCAGCAACGCCGCGUGGAGGAUGAAAUACUUUUGUAUGU